rnacentral:misc_RNA from 1 species
AGGCGCCGCUCAUUGGUGACGCCGCUGCUGCGACUGCCCACUCUCCCGCGCACGCUCACCCAGACACCCAGACACAUCUUUAGUCAUUAUGGAGUUCUUAACUGUAGCAUAGUAAGAAGAAACGUACACACAAACACAAGCAAAAUUGAAGAUCGGUGAUGUGACAGAAAAGUCAACGCGAGGACCACGAGUAGGAGAAACCUCGUGAGUCAUGCGACCAAGCGCCGGGCAAUGCUGAGAAUGCUGGAAGAGGGCGAGACGAGAAGCGAGACAUUGCUGUAUCACAGCCAUGUGAUAUGAGUCGGCCUUUUCCACUGCACAUGCGCAAGUGCACUAAAGCUAGAGCACCUCUUCACAGACGGAAAGAAAAAGGGAUGCCCGAGGCAGCUGUUGACGGCAAAGACGCCCGCAUAUGAGUUGCAGUGGCACGGCUUUCCUCAAUCAUUGUGGAAGAUGAACCUGGGAGAUUCACUCUUAAACGUAUGCUUUCACCAUGCUUUACCGUACUGUCUCUUCCACACCAACCACCUGCCUCACUCUCUCGCACAUGGCGACGCCCCUUCUGCUCCUAUCUCUAAAUACGAUUGCGUUCGCCAUCGCUUUACUGUCCCUCUUCCUGUCCGCAUAUCCUCAUGAG